rnacentral:rRNA from 1 species
AUUGAACGCUGGCGGCAUGCCUUACACAUGCAAGUCGAACGGUAACAGGUCUUCGGAUGCUGACGAGUGGCGAACGGGUGAGUAAUACAUCGGAACGUGCCUAGUAGUGGGGGAUAACUACUCGAAAGAGUGGCUAAUGCCGCAUGAGAUCUACGGAUGAAAGCAGGGGAUCGCAAGACCUUGUGCUACUAGAGCGGCCGAUGGCAGAUUAGGUAGAUGGUGGGAUAAAAGCUUACCAAGCCGACGAUCUGUAGCUGGUCUGAGAGGACGAUCAGCCACCCUGGGACUGAGACACGGCCGAGACUCCUACGGGAGGAAGCAGUGGGGAAUUUUGGACAAUGGGCGAAAGCCUGAUCCAGCAAUGCCGCGUGCAGGAUGAAGGCCUUCGGGUUGUAAACUGCUUUUGUACGGAACGAAAAGCCCCGGGUUAAUACCCUGGGGUCACGACGGUACCGUAAGAAUAAGCACCGGCUAACUACGUGCCAGCCGCCGCAGUAA